GACGAACGCUGGCGGCGGGCUUAACACAUGCAAGUCGAACGGAAAGGCCCUGCUUUUGCGGGGUGCUCGAGGGGCGAACGGGUGAGAAACACGGGAGUAACCCGCCCUUGACGGUGGGAUAACUUCAGGAAACUGGGGCUAACACCGGAUAGGAGCUCCUGCUGCAUGGGGGGGGUCGGAAAGCUUCGGCGGUUGGGGAUGGACGCGCGGUUUAUCAGCUUGUUGGGGGGGUAGUGGCUUAGCAAGGCUUCGACGGAUAGCCGGCCUGGGAGGGUGGCCGGCCACCUGGCGCCUGCGGUACGGCGCAGACUCCUACGGGAGGCAGCAGUGGGGAGUCUUGCACAAUGGGCGGAAGCCUGAUGCGGCGGCGCCGCGUGCGGGAUGACGGCCUUCGGGUUGUAAACCGCUUUCGCCUGUGACGAAGCGUGAGUGACGGUAAUGGGUAAAGAAGCACCGGCUAACUACGUG
rnacentral:rRNA from 1 species